GUAUGCUGAAAUAUGCAGAGACAUCAUUUGUUUUUAACCUCUUUUCUUGUAUGUAAUAUGAAGUAGUGAAUAGUGCAUUUCCUGGAGAUUUGCGAUCUUUUUAACCUCUUUUAUUGUAUCUGAUAUAAUCAUUUUAAUUUCUUACUCUGAGCUAUAAUAGGUUUAUUGACAAUAUCAAAGGUACUAAGCUACUGUGUAAGUCAGAUUGCACUGUUGUGUAGGAUCCCCUGAAUCAGUCCGGCAACCUGGGAAGAUAUUGACAGAAUACGACGUGCCAGAUCUUCCACAAUAAAGAGAUAAUGUAUAUCACUAAAACAGUCUUGACUUGUGCUUGCUGUGACUUUGCCGUUCAUAGAAGUUGCACGAACUAAGGCCCAAAUCAGCAUGGACUGCUAUAUAUAUUUGGAUAUCAUCUAUGUACAUUAGAAGGAAAAACACUAGAAGGAAUUCAGAUAUCAGCUAUGUACAUUAGAAGGCAGAAUUCUAGAAGGAAUUAAUCACAGCUAAAUCUCCAUGUGCCCAACCGUGGAGGUGGUGAGGAAGAUCUUGCAGCGAAGUAACACCUCCAUGUGCAGCUAUGCCAUCACCGGUCAGGGCGCCACUGCCGCCGACCUCAGUGUAAGAAGAAGUCCACCUACAGACCAUAUGCUAGCUGAUUAUUGUAUCAUUAUUAGUGUGUACUUUCAGAUGAAGUUCAGGUUUUUGCUCUCGGCUAUAUAUACAGAAUGAAGCUGGAGCCUUAGGCAAUCUUCAACUCAGUUUUUCAGCAGUGAAUUUCACAGUUUUUAGCCAAUGUAAUAAAGGACUUAAAGUUAUCAUAUCCUGUAUCGAGCAUUGACACUGAAUGAACAAUACAAUAUAGUGAUCGCAGAGCUAGAAUUUCUGUUUAUUGCCCGGUGUUGUUAAAUUAGAGGCAUUGUUUGAUGGAGUAGUGUUAACCCCAAGGUCUUCAUGGAACAUCUAUGUCAGUGUUUUAUUUAUGCUAUAUGUGACUGCUUUUAGGUUGAAAGGCUUGAUAUUCAGUCCAGAAUGUUUUUCCUUGGUUCAAGAACUAUU